rnacentral:rRNA from 1 species
GAUCCUGGCUCAGGACGAACGCUGGCGGCGUGCCUAAUACAUGCAAGUAGAACGCUGAAGAGAGGAGCUUGCUCUUCUUGGAUGAGUUGCGAACGGGUGAGUAACGCGUGGGUAACCUGCCUUGUAGCGGGGGGAUAACUAUUGGAAACGAUAGCUAAUACCGCAUAACAAUGAAUGACUCAUGUCAUUUAUUUGAAAGGGGCAAUUGCUCCACUACAAGAUGGACCUGCGUUG